rnacentral:rRNA from 1 species
GAUGAACGCUGGCGGCGUGCCUAAUACAUGCAAGUCGAGCGAACAGAUAAGGCGCUUGCUCCUUUCACGUUAGCGGCGCACGGGUGAGUAACACGUGGGUAACCUACCUAUAAGACUGGUAUAACUCCGGGAAACCGGGGCUAAUGCCGGAUAACAUUCAGAUCCGCAUGGUUCUAUAGUGAAAGAUGGUUUUACUAUCACUAAUAGAUGGACCCGCGCCGUAUUAGCUAGUUGGUAAGGUAACGGCUUAUCAAGGCGACGAUACGUAGCCGACCUGAGAGGGUGGUCGGCCACACUGGAGGUUGGACACGGACCAGACUCCUACGGGAGGCAGCAGUAGGGAAUCUGCAGCAAUGGGCGAGAGCCUGACGGAGCAACGCGGAGUGAGUGAUGGAGGUCUUGGGUGCGUAAAACUCUGUUAUUGGGGGAGAACAGAUGUGUAAGGAGCUGAGCACGUCUUGACGGUACCUAAUCAGAAAGCCACGGCUAACUACGUG